GGGCNAGCCUGAUGCAGCACGCCGCGUGUGUGAUGAAGGCCUUCGGGUCGUAAAGCACUUUUCUGGGAGAUGAGAAAGGACAGUAUCCCAGGAAUAAGUCUCGGCUAACUACGUGCCAGCAGCCGCGGUAAAACGUAGGAGGCGAGCGUUAUCCGGAUUCACUGGGCGUAAAGCGCGUGCAGGUGGCGCGGUAAGUUGGGCGUGAAAUCUCCCGGCUCAACUGGGAGAGGUCGUCCAAUACUACCGUGCUUGAGAGCAGAAGAGGAAGAUGGAAUUCCCGGUGUAGUGGUGAAAUGCGUAGAUAUCGGGAGGAACACCAGUGGCGAAGGCGAUCUUCUGGUCUGUUUCUGACACUCAGACGCGACAGCUAGGGUAGUAAACGGGAUUAGAGACCCCGGUAAUCCUAGCCGUAAACGAUGUGAACUUGGCGUUGGUGGGUUAAACUCCAUCAGUGCCGUAGCAAACGCGAUAAGUUCACCGCCUGGGGACUACGGCCGCAAGGUUAAAACUCAAAGAAAUUGACGGA
rnacentral:rRNA from 1 species